GACGAACGCUGGCGGCGUGCUUAACACAUGCAAGUCGAACGCUGAAGCUCAGCUUUUGUUGGGUGGAUGAGUGGCGAACGGGUGAGUAACACGUGAGUAACCUGCCUCCUUCUUUGGGAUAACGCCCGGAAACGGGUGCUAAUACUGGAUAUUCACUGGUCUUCGCAUGGGGGUUGGUGGAAAGGGUUUUUCUGGUGGGGGAUGGGCUCGCGGCCUAUCGGCUUGUUGGUGGGGUGAUGGCCUACCAAGGCUUUGACGGGUAGCCGGCCUGAGAGGGUGACCGGUAACAUUGGGACUGAGAUACGGCCCAGACUCCGACGGGAGGCAGAAGUGGGGAAUAUUGCACAAUGGGCGAAAGCCUGAUGCAGCGACGCCGCGUGAGGGAUGGAGGCCUUCGGGUUGUGAACCUCUUUCGCUCAUGGUCAAGCCGCAACAAUGGUUGUGGUGAGGGUAGUGGGUAAAGAAGCGCCGGCUAACUACGUG
rnacentral:rRNA from 1 species